rnacentral:rRNA from 1 species
GAGCUCGGUUCUAUUUUGUUGGUUUUCGGAACUCCGAGCUAAUGAUUAAUUGGGACAACUGGGGGCAUUCGUAUUGCGACGUUAGAGGUGAAAUUCUUGGAUCGUCGCAAGCCGGACAAAAGCGAAGGCAUUUGCCAAAGGUGUUUUCAUCAAUCAAGAACGAAAGUUAGAGGUUUGAAGGCGAUUAGAUACCGCCCUAAUUCUAACAGUAAAUGUGCCAGCUAGCGAUCCGCCGACGCUCCUACAAUGGCUCGGCGGGCAGCUUCCGGGAAACC